UUAGAAAUAGAAACAUAAAAGAAAAAAAGGAAAGAAAAGAAAAGACAGAAUUAAAAAGGAUGACCAAUAUUUUGAAGAUAUCAUUGAUAUAGAUGAAAAUAUCUCAAAGGAUUUUGAAUUUCUAUCAAAUGCACCAAUUUCAGAAAAUGAUCAUUUUGUCUUUCAAUCAGAAAAAGAUUGGACUGUUGAUAUUUCCAAAUACUCUGAAUUUUUUACAAUAGAUCUAAAGACAUUAUCUAUAGCAAUAGAAGCAAUUCCAUUUAAUAAGAAUGUUAAUAUUGAUACAAAAUAUUUUACUGAUGAUCAGAUAACAGAUAUUUAUAAUAAUGCUGAACGAGGAAAAGAGAAAUAUAACAAAAUAUUAAGUAAUAAAGAAGAAAUAGUUACAUAUAUUAUAAAAGAUGAAGAUAAAAAUCAAGAUUCAUUAGAAAAUACUGAAGAAUUAGACUUUUUAUUAUCAUGUCGAGAACCUAUAAAUGAUCCUUUAAUGAUUGUAAAAUCUUUACCUCUUUCUUGUAAUACUGAUUCAAAAAUAAAAACUAAAUCUAAUACAUCUACUAAAUCUUUAGAUUUAGAAAAGUGGUUGGAUUCGAUAUUGGAUGAUUAAAUAAAAAUUGUCAUUAAUUA